AGAGUUUGAUCCUGGCUCAGGAUGAACGCUGGCGGCGUGCCUAAUACAUGCAAGUCGAGCGAACGGACGAGAAGCUUGCUUCUCUGAUGUUAGCGGCGGACGGGUGAGUAACACGUGGAUAACCUACCUAUAAGACUGGGAUAACUUCGGGAAACCGGAGCUAAUACCGGAUAAUAUUUUGAACCGCAUGGUUCAAAAGUGAAAGACGGUCUUGCUGUCACUUAUAGAUGGAUCCGCGCUGCAUUAGCUAGUUGGUAAGGUAACGGCUUACCAAGGCAACGAUGCAUAGCCGACCUGAGAGGGUGAUCGGCCACACUGGAACUGAGACACGGUCCAGACUCCUACGGGAGGCAGCAGUAGGGAAUCUUCCGCAAUGGGCGAAAGCCUGACGGAGCAACGCCGCGUGAGUGAUGAAGGUCUUCGGAUCGUAAAACUCUGUUAUUAGGGAAGAACAUAUGUGUAAGUAACUGUGCACAUCUUGACGGUACCUAAUCAGAAAGCCACGGCUAACUACGUGCCAGCAGCCGCGGUAAUACGUAGGUGGCAAGCGUUAUCCGGAAUUAUUGGGCGUAAAGCGCGCGUAGGCGGUUUUUUAAGUCUGAUGUGAAAGCCCACGGCUCAACCGUGGAGGGUCAUUGGAAACUGGAAAACUUGAGUGCAGAAGAGGAAAGUGGAAUUCCAUGUGUAGCGGUGAAAUGCGCAGAGAUAUGGAGGAACACCAGUGGCGAAGGCGACUUUCUGGUCUGUAACUGACGCUGAUGUGCGAAAGCGUGGGGAUCAAACAGGAUUAGAUACCCUGGUAGUCCACGCCGUAAACGAUGAGUGCUAAGUGUUAGGGGGUUUCCGCCCCUUAGUGCUGCAGCUAACGCAUUAAGCACUCCGCCUGGGGAGUACGACCGCAAGGUUGAAACUCAAAGGAAUUGACGGGGACCCGCACAAGCGGUGGAGCAUGUGGUUUAAUUCGAAGCAACGCGAAGAACCUUACCAAAUCUUGACAUCCUUUGACAACUCUAGAGAUAGAGCUUUCCCCUUCGGGGGACAAAGUGACAGGUGGUGCAUGGUUGUCGUCAGCUCGUGUCGUGAGAUGUUGGGUUAAGUCCCGCAACGAGCGCAACCCUUAAGCUUAGUUGCCAUCAUUAAGUUGGGCACUCUAAGUUGACUGCCGGUGACAAACCGGAGGAAGGUGGGGAUGACGUCAAAUCAUCAUGCCCCUUAUGAUUUGGGCUACACACGUGCUACAAUGGACAAUACAAAGGGCAGCGAAACCGUGAGGUCAAGCAAAU
rnacentral:rRNA from 1 species